CACGUAGGGGGCGAGCGUUGUCCGGAUUUAUUGGGCGUAAAGAGCUCGUAGGCGGUUUGGCAAGUCGGGUGUGAAAUUUCGAGGCUCAACCUCGAAACGCCACUCGAUACUGCCAUGACUGGAGUCCGGUAGAGGAGUGCGGAAUUCCUGGUGUAGCGGUGAAAUGCGCAGAUAUCAGGAGGAACACCAACGGCGAAGGCAGCACUCUGGGCCGGUACUGACGCUGAGGCACGAAAGCGUGGGGAGCAAACAGG
rnacentral:rRNA from 1 species